rnacentral:rRNA from 1 species
UACGUAGGUGGCAAGCGUUGUCCGGAGUUAUUGGGCGUAAAGCGCGCGCAGGCGGUGCGGUAAGUCUCUGGUGAAAGCGCUCGGCUUAACUGGGCGAGGGCCGGGGAGACUGCCACGCUGGAGGGAGCAGAGGCGAGUGGAAUUCCGGGUGUAGUGGUGAAAUGCGUAGAGAUCCGGAGGGAACACCAGUGGCGAAGGCGGCUCGCUGGGCUCUACCCUGACGCUGAGGCGCGAUAGCGUGGGGAUCAAACAGG